rnacentral:rRNA from 1 species
GACGAACGCUGGCGGCGUGCUUAACACAUGCAAGUCGAACGGAAAGGCCCCGCUUUUGUGGGGUGCUCGAGUGGCGAACGGGUGAGUAACACGUGAGUAACCUGCCCUUGACUUUGGGAUAACUUCAGGAAACUGGGGCUAAUACCGGAUAGGAGCUCCUGCUGCAUGGUGGGGGUUGGAAAGUUUCGGCGGUUGGGGAUGGACUCGCGGCUUAUCAGCUUGUUGGUGGGGUAGUGGCUUACCAAGGCUUUGACGGGUAGCCGGCCUGAGAGGGUGACCGGCCACAUUGGGACUGAGAUACGGCCCAGACUCCUACGGGAGGCAGCAGUGGGGAAUAUUGCACAAUGGACGGAAGCCUGAUGCAGCAACGCCGCGUGCGGGAUGACGGCCUUCGGGUUGUAAACCGCUUUCGCCUGUGACGAAGCGUGAGUGACGGUAAUGGGUAAAGAAGCACCGGCUAACUACGUG